GGCGCAUGGCUUAGUUGGCAAAGCGCCUGUCUAGUAAACAGGGAUCCCCGGUUCGAAUCCGGGUGGUGCCU
rnacentral:tRNA from 1 species